CUUUUUAAUUUGGGGGAAUUUUUUUUCCUGGUGUGUAUAAAAUGUGAACAGAUUAUUUCCCAGUAGAAUCAUGUGUGGUGUAUUGUGUCUAAAGGAAACGGAACAUAUUGCAAACGUUCAUUGUUCUGGAGCCAUGGUUUUUAAACAUCAGACAUCCACCUGUAGGGGGAAGAAAUUCCCAUGACUCUUCGCAGCCUGUUACUGUGCUUUUGUUGGCACUUAGUUUGUG